UGAGGUGUAGCUCAGUGGUCCAGCGGGUGCUUAGCACUUCUAAGCUCCUGGGUUCAAUUCCCAGCACCCCUG
rnacentral:tRNA from 1 species